CAUGGAGAGUUUGAUCCUGGCUCAGGACGAACGCUGGCGGCGUGCUUAACACAUGCAAGUCGGACGGUCGGCACUGGAAGGUUCGCUGGAAGGUGCCGAUAGUGGCGGACGGGUGAGUAACGCGUGAGGA
rnacentral:rRNA from 1 species